UGCUGUGGCAAUAAGAACCCGCUCAAGAAAUUUGCCUCUGGAAAAAAUAAAUUGGUAUAAAGAUCCUUCCUAGGGAUCUCACUUUAUUUACAAACUAUCCAAUUCCUAAUGAGGAAUGUCUCAAAGAAAAUGGAGAAGGAAGACCACAUGCAUCUACGGACUCUGAAUGGCCUUGUUUAUAAAGCAUUGACAGAUUUGCUGUGCACAAGUGAAGUGGGCAAAUAGAUCUAUGACCUGAACCUGAAGUUUUCCAAGACUUCCCAGCAUGGCAUGUAUAUUGGAAGACAAGUCUUUCUGCUGAACAGAAGGUGCACACAGAAUCCAUAUUAUAGGAACGCACUGCACAUAUGAGGCAUCUUUUAAUGUCCCAGCAGAUCUUAAGGGAUGUGCCACCUAUAUUGUUUGUGCAAGGCAAAGAAAAUGCAGCUCUAGCAGUGAUAGAUUGGUUACCAGUAAUUGCCAAUUUGGGAACUCCAGAUUAAAAAGAAGACUAUACAAAAUGAGUUCAGGAAAUAUAAGGGUCUGUUUAGAGACUGGGCAGUCAAUCAUGGUCUGAUGCCAUGGAACGUGCCUUGCUCUCAAGUCUAUGUAGAGUCAAUCAGGAGGCACUCAACAAGCAAAUAGUGAAAUGCAAAAGAAAAAAAGGAAGCUUGAGCCCAGUGUGGCUGAAACAAGUACAGAAAGAGUUAGCUGAGUUAAUGAAGCAAAUGAAAAAAAAAAAAGGAAGGAAGAAAGCAAAGCUCUUCAUAGAUGGCGAUAUCUCCCCCAAGAAUUUCCUGUGGGUUAGAAUAAAUGAAUAUAACCCAGACGAUGGUGGUGCUUUUUUUUUUGAGGAGCCCUCACUGGAAUAUGAAUAUGAGCUACAAGAAGCAGAAGAGGGCUUGGAGGCAGAAAGAGAGGGU
rnacentral:lncRNA from 1 species